rnacentral:rRNA from 1 species
UACGAAGGGGGCUAGCGUUGUUCGGAAUCACUGGGCGUAAAGCGCACGUAGGCGGAUUGUUAAGUCGGGGGUGAAAUCCUGAGGCUCAACCUCAGAACUGCCUUCGAUACUGGCAAUCUCGAGUCCGGAAGAGGUUGGUGGAACAGCUAGUGUAGAGGUGAAAUUCGUAGAUAUUAGCUAGAACACCAGUGGCGAAGGCGGCCAACUGGUCCGGUACUGACGCUGAGGUGCGAAAGCGUGGGGAGCCAAACAGGG